rnacentral:rRNA from 1 species
CUUGAUGGGGUAAGGCUCCCAGUAGACGACUGGGUUGAUAGGCCGGAUCUGGAAGCACAGUAAUGUGUGGAGGUGACCGGUACUAAUAGGCCGAGGGCUUGUCCUC